CCUACGGGUGGCAGCAGUGGGGGAUAUUGCACAAUGGGGGGAACCCUGAUGCAGCGACGCCGCGUGGGUGAAGAAGCGCCUCGGCGCGUAAAGCCCUGUCAGCAGGGAAGAAAAUGACGGUACCUGAAGAAGAAGCCCCGGCUAACUACGUGCCAGCAGCCGCGGUAAUACGUAGGGGGCAAGCGUUAUCCGGAUUUACUGGGUGUAAAGGGGGCGCAGACGGCGAUGCAAGCCAGGCGUGAAAGCCCGGGGCUCAACCCCGGGACUGCUCUUGGAACUGCGUGGCUGGAGUGCAGGAGGGGCAGGCGGAAUUCCUGGGGUAGCGGUGAAAUGCGUAGAUAUCAGGAGGAACACCGAUGGCGAAGGCGGCCUGCUGGACUGCAACUGACGUUGAGGCCCGAAAGCGUGGGGAGCAAACAGGAUUAGAUACCCUGGUAGUC
rnacentral:rRNA from 1 species